GACAGAGGGUGCGAACGUUGUUCGGAAUUACUGGGCGUAAAGCGCGUGUAGGCUGUUCGGAAAGUCGGGUGUGAAAGCCCUGGGCUCAACCUAGGAAGUGCACUCGAAACUCCCGAACUGGAGUCCCGGAGAGGAAGGUGGAAUUCUCGGUGUAGAGGUGAAAUUCGUAGAUAUCGAGAGGAACAUCGGUGGCGAAGGCGGCCUUCUGGACGGUGACUGACGCUGAGAUGCGAAAGCGUGGGGAGCAAACAGG
rnacentral:rRNA from 1 species